ensembl:lncRNA
GGAGAGAGAGGGAGUUGCGGGGGAGAUAUGGAGGUAUGAGGGAAAAACAUAGGCAGUAGUAGUAACCCUUAUAGGAAGACAUUUAAGUUUUUUGUUCUUCAGUUUGGGCCUCUCUCUCCCACCCAGAACAGAUGGGAUCUGGACCCACCGCAAGCCAAAAACACACAUUCAGACCCGCACCGCAGGGAUAUAAAAAUAAAUAACGACCAAUAAUAUGUACACACAUGAAUAAAUACAAGACAUUCACUCUGCUCUAAGAGACCCCCCCCCCCACCACCACCACUUCGCAGCCAGCCCUCUAUCAAGGACUCAGCUAGAGAGAGACAGAGGAGAGGUGGGGGAAGUUUACAUCCAUAUCCACUGCCGUGGAGUUUCUGAAGACAUAUGAAAUGAAAGAGUCGGUUCCUAGGUUGAAGUACCUCAAUGGGCUGGCAGGGACUGCUAGAAAUAGAGCCCAGAGAGCUGACAGGGCACACAUUAAGCACAUUGAUGAAAUACCUCUUACAUUCUUCUGAGGUGAAAUAACGUCCACAUAGUUGAGGUUCAGGGGUACGGGGUGGGAGAGAGGUUCAGGGGGUACGGGGUGGGAGAGAGGUUCAGGGGUACGGGGUGGGAGAGAGGUUCAGGGAUUAAUGGGGUGGGAGAGAGUUUCAGGGAUUAAUGGGGUGGGAGAGAGGUUCAGGGGUAUGGGGUGGGAGAGAGGUUCAGGGAUUAAUGGGGUGGGAGAGAGGGUUCAGGGAUUAAUGGGGUGGGAGAGAGGUUCAGGGAUUAAUGGGGUGGGAGAGAGGUUCAGGGAUUAAUGGGGUGGGAGAGAGG